rnacentral:lncRNA from 1 species
UUCCGUCGAGGCCUCUGGCAUCCACUAACGAUCUUCUUUCAAUGAGCGAAGAUCAACUACCCUUUUAUACCCCUCUUCUCAUUUUCACAGGUUUAGAAGAUAACCAUUUUAAGCACUCACUCCUCCCUAAACAUAAUUCUAAACUUUAAAACUAGAAAAGGGGAUUUCUCAAGUGAUUGUUAUAGCGUUUUCCCACUUUUAAUUUCUCUAAGCUUGUGUUUUUU